ACAACAGACUACCUUGAUCAUCGAAUUUAAAAGUUCGUGCUUUACCGAGCCAUUAAUUAUAAAAAAUCUUUCAUUGAACUUGUAAUGCGAAUUUGAAAUACAUAAUUAUGUGAUAUAAGAGGCGUGUAUAGACACAAUUUUUUAUGUAUGACCAAGCUUUGUCUUUUUAAGGUAUCUUUGAAAACUUAAUAUAUACUUGGGUAAUGUUCGUGGUCUUUGUUUUUGAAAUAAGCGAAAAGGUGAAUGGAAGAAACCAUGGAUUAGCGAUGGUGCUUCCUAUUUUCAACGGUGUCCUUCCUACUCCAACUACGCCUAAGAAAAUUUCAUCAAAUCCAACGAUUUCAUUGGUAAAUCAUACUAUCCCUUACCUUUUCAAGCUUCCUCAUUAAUUGGAACUUAAAAUAGAAUGACGGUCAAUUUUGGCGUCCAAAACCUCUAGGUCAGAGCAGGGAUUAUUGGAAGUUUAACUUAAAACAGAAAAAGAAUCAAUUUAACGCUGUUGCCAUGACCAUACCAAACAAGAUUCAUUUCGCAAUUUUGAUAUCUGUGGACGACUUUCACAAAUGAAAAAACCCCAGCAAAGUCCAAAUGCUGGUAAGUUUCGUAAAUAGAAAGAAUAGUUGUUCUGAGAUUAUACAAAAUCCAUUACCAGCCGACAAUUUUAUAAAGUUUAAUAAAAAACUUCCUCCGAAUAAAAGGUCCAAAACUCAAUACUUAAGAAACAAACAAGACAGUUUUUUUACACAGUAAUAUUUCGAAUUUAUUACAAUUCAUCAUCGGAUUGUUUCUCAAAUAUUGAGUUAAACAUGAACAUUUUAUUCGGAAUAUGUUUUCUUAUUAUAGUAAAGGAAAGUAUAGCUUUUCUCCAUUUGUCGCAGCAAAUUCAUGCUAGCAAGCUGAGUAAUUCUGCUUGUGGAUGAAUUAUGGCGACGAUUGAUUCAACAAGACAUUCUGUAAUAAAGUAAAUGAUUUGAACCAAAGUAAAUGUCAACAACAACAA